rnacentral:rRNA from 1 species
AACGAACGCUGGCGGCAUGCCUAACACAUGCAAGUCGAACGAGACCUUCGGGUCUAGUGGCGCACGGGUGCGUAACGCGUGGGAACCUGCCCUUAGGUUCGGAAUAACUCCCCGAAAGGGGUGCUAAUACCGGAUAAUGUCUUCGGACCAAAGAUUUAUCGCCUUUGGAUGGGCCCGCGUUGGAUUAGCUAGUUGGUAGGGUAAAAGCCUACCAAGGCGACGAUCCAUAGCUGGUCUGAGAGGAUGAUCAGCCACGCUGGGACUGAGACACGGCCCAGACUCGUACGGAAGGCAGCAGUGGGGAAUAUUGGACAAGGGGGGAAAGCCUGAUGCAGCAAUGCCGCGUGAGUGAUGAAGGCCUUAGGGUUGUAAAGCUCUUUUACCCGGGAUGAUAAUGACAGUACCGGGAGAAUAAGCUCCGGCUAACUCCGUG